CACACUCUCCAAUGGUCUGAGGGACAGUGAACUGGCCCCCUUUUUAAAAAGUUUUAGGACCCCUGGUCUAGAGUAUCCCCCAGACCUUUUCCAGGAUUGCAGAACCACAAGGACCUGGCACCUUUCACUACCCAUCCUGCCCUUGCUAGUUCGGGGGAAACCACUGGCUGCCUAGAUUCGGGGGAGUGGCACUGCAGCCCUAUGGAACGGCUAGACAUCCUUCUGCUCCUGUGGAGUUCCACAUCAUGAACACUGGUCCAGGAUUCAGAAGCCUGACCUUAGUUUUACAUGAGUGAAUCUGCUCUGAAAGGAUCUCUAAAAUGUCCCUUAGCACUCUUCGAAGAGCUGCAUACUCAAGGAGCAGUCUUUUCUAAUGAGACCAAUGAAUAGGAAAGACAAGCCGGUGAUUGAAAUGGGAAAAAAUAGCAGUAAUGGCCUGUCCAGGAACUUUCCCCUCUGUGUUAGAUUUUUAGACUUUGAAUUCUAAGAACAGUCUCUGAGAAUAGGAAUGCUAUGAUAGUACAUUUCCCUGGCUUUUAGGCAUGUUUGAACCAGACAGCAGCAGACUGUAUGGCUGAUGAACUGACUUAGAAUAUCCUGAAUGCUCAGAGAAAAUGAGAGAAGCCAGGUAAAAUCCUACAGUUCUGCUGGAGGCAAAUCAAGUAACAAUUAUCAUAUUUAUACAUAUUUUUCCACUCAAGAAGUACUCAUGAAAUUAAUUCCGAUUUUGGAGGCUAUCCAUUUUUUUCAUUUAAUUUUAAUUAUAUAGAUGAAAACGGCAAUUAAAAAUCCCACAACAACCCUGGGUGUUCACAGACACAGCGGUACUGAAUCGCGCUUGUAAAUAACAACUGGCUCCUGCACCCUGCAGCCACGGAGCUGGGCCGGGGGCUGCACAGAUGGGGCCUGGGCCUGGGAACAAUGGAGGCACACCAGAAACCUUUAAACAUCAAGUUAAAAAUCUGAGGGGAGCAGGCAAAACAGAACAAGACAUUUACGG